AAACAUUCACAAUCAUCAUCAUCAUCUUCUCCCAAGUAGCUAUCUUUCAUUCUUUGACCACGCAACACCGUCCCCAAUCCGUCAUCCCCUUCCCCUUUCAUUGACCCGAUCCCCCCUUACUACACGGAAUUCCAUGGCUGUCACUCGUCAUCAAAACAGAGUCCCUGUUCACAUAUAAACCCCACCGUCUUCAAUCUUCAUCCAAUCUCGAAAUUCUCCAUUACCCAUCUUCCCCAACACUUCAAAACCAUUUCCCACCAACCUUAUAUACAGAUCAAAGCUCCCCUUCAUCUCCCUUUUUCCUUUCUCAUCAACCUCUGUCACACACAAAAACAGAGUCAACGAAAACAGAGCAUCAUGAAGUGCUUUUGCCUCCGGUUGAUUCUCGUUUCCUUUCUUAUCAUGUUCGUCUCCACAAUGUUUGCUCCCUCGUGUGUAGAAGCGACCCAGACGAUAAGGGGAUUUCCUGGUCCGUCCACAGCGACUACUACACAGUUUUUCCGGCCGGGUGGAUUUGGGGUCGGCGCCGGAGCAAGGAAAGUGCCGGAGUUUAGGUCGGAGAAGCGGCGGGUUCCGACCGGGUCGAACCCAUUGCACAACAAGCGUUGAGGUUUAACCAACAGCUUCUUAAUUAGUAUACUUCCUAAUUUUUCGAUUUGUUUUCUCCAUGGAAAGAAGAAUUUCUCACUGUUUUAUUUAUUUUUUGGUGAGAUCAUAGUGUAUGGGAAUAUAGUAAUAUACUGUAUGAUUUUGUAUGGAUUGUACAAAAUUUCGUGACAUCUAUAAUACUGAUAUACAUACGAUUAUUAUUCGUGAAAUACAUAAAACUAUAGUUCAUGUACAAAUGUAGAAUAUGGAUGUGUUCAUAUGAGUUUAUCGAUCCUCAGAUUGAUUUUAUUCUCCAUGUGAUUCGGAUAAUUAAUGAGGUUAAAUUCC
rnacentral:lncRNA from 1 species